rnacentral:rRNA from 1 species
ACUCCUACGGGAGGCAGCAGUGGGGAAUAUUGCACAAUGGGGGAAACCCUGAUGCACCAGCCUGCGUGUGAGAGCAAUGGGCUUGGUUAAAACGCUUUCAGUAGGGAGGAAGGUAGUGUAGUUAACACCUGCAUUAUUUGACGUUACCUACAGAAGAAGCACCGGCUAACUCCGUGCCAGCAUCCGCGGUAAUACGGAGGGUGCGAGCGUUAAUCGGAAUUACUGGGCGUAAAGCGCAUGCAGGCGGCUUGUUAAGUCAGAUGUGAAAGCCCGGGGCUUAACCUCGGAAUUGCAUUUGAAACUGGCAGGCUAGAGUCUUGUAGAGGGGGGUAGAAUUUCAGGUGUAGCGGUGAAAUGCGUAGAGAUCUGAAGGAAUACCAGUGGCGAAGGNGGCCCCCUGGACAAAGACUGACGCUCAGAUGCGAAAAGCGUGGGGAGCAAACAGGAUUAGAUACCCUGGUAGGAUAG